AGAGUUUGAUCCUGGCUCAGAACGAACGCUGGCGGCGUGCCUGAGACAUGCAAGUCGUGGGAGAAAGUCGGAGCAAUCCGGCUAGUAAACCGGCGCACGGGUGAGUAACACGUGGGUAACCUGCCUUGGAGACCGGGAUAACCCGUCGAAAGACGGGCUAAUACCGGAUAAGACCCCGGAUAGUUCGCUAUCUGAGGUAA
rnacentral:rRNA from 1 species